rnacentral:rRNA from 1 species
UACGGAAGGCAGCAGUGGGGAAUAUUGGACAAUGGGCGGAAGCCUGAUCCAGCCAUGCCGCGUGUGUGAAGAAGGCCUUUUGGUUGUAAAGCACUUUUAAGCGAGGAGGAGGCUACUAGUACUAAUACUACUGGAUAGUGGACGUUACUCGCAGAAUAAGCACCGGCUAACUCUGUGCCAGCAGCCGCGGUAAUACAGAGGGUGCGAGCGUUAAUCGGAUUUACUGGGCGUAAAGCGUGCGUAGGCGGCUGAUUAAGUCGGAUGUGAAAUCCCUGAGCUUAACUUGGAAUUGCAUUCGAUACUGGUCAGCUAGAGUAUGGGAGAGGAUGGUAGAAUUCCAGGUGUAGCGGUGAAAUGCGUAGAGAUCUGGAGGAAUACCGAUGGGCGAAGGGCAGCCAUCUGGGCCUAAUACUGACGCUGAGUCGAAAGCAUGGGGA